rnacentral:rRNA from 1 species
AUACAUGCAGUAGAACGCUGAAGAGAGGAGCUUGCUCUUCUUGGAUGAGUUGCGAACGGGUGAGUAACGCGUAGGUAACCUGCCUUGUAGCGGGGGAUAACUAUUGGAAACGAUAGCUAAUACCGCAUAACAAUGGAUGACACAUGUCAUUUAUUUGAAAGGGGCAAUUGCUCCACUACAAGAUGGACCUGCGUUGUAUUAGCUAGUAGGUGAGGUAACGGCUCACCUAGGCGACGAUACAUAGCCGACCUGAGAGGGUGAUCGGCCACACUGGGACUGAGACACGGCCCAGACUCCUACGGGAGGCAGCAGUAGGGAAUCUUCGGCAAUGGGGGCAACCCUGACCGAGCAACGCCGCGUGAGUGAAGAAGGUUUUCGGAUCGUAAAGCUCUGUUGUAAGUCAAGAACGAGUGUGAGAGUGGAAAGUUCACACUGUGACGGUAGCUUACCAGAAAGGGACGGCUACUACGUGCCAGCAGCGCGGUAAUACGUAGGUCCGAGCGNGUCCGGAUUUAUUGGGCGUAAAGCGAGCGCAGGCGGUUUGAUAAGUCUGAAGUUAAAGGCUGUGGCUCAACCAUAGUUCGCUUUGGAAACUGUCAAACUUGAGUGCAGAAGGGGAGAGUGGAAUUCCAUGUGUAGCGGUGAAAUGCGUAGAUAUAUGGAGGAACACCGGUGGCGAAAGCGGCUCUCUGGUCUGUAACUGACGCUGAGGCUCGAAAGCGUGGGGAGCGAACAGGAUUAGAUACCCUGGUAGUCCACGCCGUAAACGAUGAGUGCUAGGUGUUGGAUCCUUUCCGGGAUUCAGUGCCGCAGCUAACGCAUUAAGCACUCCGCCUGGGGAGUACGACCGCAAGGUUGAAACUCAAAGGAAUUGACGGGGGCCCGCACAAGCGGUGGAGCAUGUGGUUUAAUUCGAAGCAACGCGAAGAACCUUACCAGGUCUUGACAUCCCGAUGCUAUUUCUAGAGAUAGAAAGUUACUUCGGUACAUCGGUGACAGGUGGUGCAUGGUUGUCGUCAGCUCGUGUCGUGAGAUGUUGGGUUAAGUCCCGCAACGAGCGCAACCCCUAUUGUUAGUUGCCAUCAUUCAGUUGGGCACUCUAGCGAGACUGCCGGUAAUAAACCGGAGGAAGGUGGGGAUGACGUCAAAUCAUCAUGCCCCUUAUGACCUGGGCUACACACGUGCUACAAUGGUUGGUACAACGAGUUGCGAGUCGGUGACGGCAAGCUAAUCUCUUAAAGCCAAUCUCAGUUCGGAUUGUAGGCUGCAACUCGCCUACAUGAAGUCGGAAUCGCUAGUAAUCGCGGAUCAGCACGCCGCGGUGAAUACGUUCCCGGGCCUUGUACACACCGCCCGUCACACCACGAGAGUUUGUAACACCCG